rnacentral:rRNA from 2 species
ACAGAUGCUAAUACCGCAUAGAUCCAAUAACCGCAUGGUUCUUGGCUGAAAGAUGGCGUAAGCUAUCGCUUUUGGAUGGACCCGCGGCGUAUUAGCUAGUUGGUGAGGUAAUGGCUCACCAAGGCGAUGAUACGUAGCCGAACUGAGAGGUUGAUCGGCCACAUUGGGACUGAGACACGGCCCAAACUCCUACGGGAGGCAGCAGUAGGGAAUCUUCCACAAUGGACGCAAGUCUGAUGGAGCAACGCCGCGUGAGUGAAGAAGGCUUUCGGGUCGUAAAACUCUGUUGUUGGAGAAGAAUGGUCGGCAGAGUAACUGUUGUCGGCGUGACGGUAUCCAACCAGAAAGCCACGGCUAACUACGUGCCAGCAGCCGCGGUAAUACGUAGGUGGCAAGCGUUAUCCGGAUUUAUUGGGCGUAAAGCGAGCGCAGGCGGUUUUUUAAGUCUGAUGUGAAAGCCCUCGGCUUAACCGAGGAAGCGCAUCGGAAACUGGGAAACUUGAGUGCAGAAGAGGACAGUGG